CUCAGAUUGAACGCUGGCGGAAUGCUUUACACAUGCAAGUCGAACGGCAGCACGGGUGCUUGCACCUGGUGGCGAGUGGCGAACGGGUGAGUAAUGCACCGGAACGUAUCCAAUAAUGGGGGAUAACGCACCGAAAGGUGUGCUAAUACCGCAUACGCCCUGAGGGGGAAAGCGGGGGAUCGUAAGACCUCGCGUUAAUGGAGCGGCCGAUGCCGGAUUAGCUAGUUGGUGGGGUAAAGGCUCACCAAGCCAACGAUCUGUAGCUGGUCUGAGAGGACGACCAGCCACACUGGAACUGAGACACGGUCCAGACUCCUACGGGAGGCAGCAGUGGGGAAUUUUGGACAAUGGGCGCAAGCCUGAUCCAGCCAUUCCGCGUGCAGGAUGAAGGCCUUCGGGUUGUAAACUGCUUUUGUACGGAACGAAAAAGCUCUCUCUAAUACAGGGGGUGAAUGACGGUACCGUAAGAAUAAGCACCGGCUAACUACGUG
rnacentral:rRNA from 1 species